CUGGGGUCUGCUGCCUGGUCCCUACAGUCUUGGGGAGCCCCAGAAAAAUAUCUAUCGUCUCUUAAACACAGCAUUUGGUCUGGUGCACCUUGCUGGGUACAGCUCUUUCGUCUGUCCCUUGUCCCUUGGAGGGAACCUGGGCCUGCGACCCAAGCCACCUGUCAACUUCCCUUACCUUCAUUAUGAUGCCACUCUGCCCUUCCACUGUAGCGCUAUCCUGGCUACAGCCCUGGACACGGUUACCGUUCCCUAUCGCCUCCGCUCCUCCACAGUCAGCAUGGCUCACUUGGCUGAUGUGCUAAGUUUCUCUGGGAAGAAGGUAAGCAGCUCUGUGAGG
rnacentral:lncRNA from 1 species